rnacentral:rRNA from 1 species
AAUGGGCGCAAGCCUGAUGCAGCCAUGCCGCGUGUAUGAAGAAGGCCUUCGGGUUGUAAAGUACUUUCAGCGAGGAGGAAGGCGUUGUGGUUAAUAACCGCAACGAUUGACGUUACUCGCAGAAGAAGCACCGGCUAACUCCGUGCCAGCAGCCGCGGUAAUACGGAGGGUGCAAGCGUUAAUCGGAAUUACUGGGCGUAAAGCGCACGCAGGCGGUCUGUCAAGUCGGAUGUGAAAUCCCCGGGCUCAACCUGGGAACUGCAUCCGAAACUGGCAGGCUAGAGUCUUGUAGAGGGGGGUAGAAUUCCAGGUGUAGCGGUGAAAUGCGUAGAGAUCUGGAGGAAUACCGGUGGCGAAGGCGGCCCCCUGGACAAAGACUGACGCUCAGGUGCGAAAGCGUGGGGAGCAAA